CGCGCGUCUUACACGUAACAACCAUCUUACGUCGUUAAUUUUCAUACUUUUCAUUUAUUUUUUUAUUCAUUUUUUUUUUUUUUAUUUUUUUUAUUUUUUUUUUUAUUUCUUUUCUUUUUCUUUUAAUCAUUUCAAGUGUAUAAUCGAAUCCGAAGUAAGUGUGUAUUUAAGUGCGCGUACGUAUGUGGGUGUAUAUGUGUGCACGCUCACACGUGUGUUCUAAAAUUGUUGAAUCAAAUCAAGGAAGAGAUGAAAUAAGAGAAACUUUUUAUUUCCGGC